rnacentral:tRNA from 1 species
GGGGGCGUGUUGUAAUUGGCAGCCUAACUGAUUACCAAUCCGUUGGAGCGGGUUCGAACCCCGUCGCCUCCACCA